UACGUAGGGUGCGAGCGUUAAUCGGAAUUACUGGGCGUAAAGCGUGCGCAGGCGGUUUUGUAAGCCAGAUGUGAAAGCCCCGGGCUUAACCUGGGAAUGGCAUUUGGGACUGCAAGGCUUGAGUGCGGCAGAGGAGACUGGAAUUCCUGGUGUAGCAGUGAAAUGCGUAGAUAUCAGGAGGAAUACCGAUGGCGAAGGCAGGUCUCUGGGCCUUACCUGACGCUGAGGAGCGAAAGCGUGGGGAGCGAACAGG
rnacentral:rRNA from 1 species